UAGCUUUUGGAAUUGUUUAGUAUGUUAGGUCCGGUUUUGGGGGAUUUAUCAUUUUGGAGAGAGAGAUGGACAAGGAGAUAGAGAUAGAUAGAGAGAGAGAGGAGAAAGCAUGGCUGUGUGCAUUUUUUGGUGUUAAUUAAUGGGUUGGUGCGCAGGUGAGUGACAGAGUGACGGAGGGACGUGUGGGAGGGUAUGGGUUUUUAGUUCUUUCUUCUGAUUC
rnacentral:lncRNA from 1 species